UUAAGACCAGCAGUACCUAUACUAAAAUUGGAAUGAUACAGAGAAGAUAAGAAUGGCUUCUGAGUGAGGAUGACAUAUGAAUUCAAAAUGAGUUCCAUAUUUUA